AGGAGGAGGAGGAGGAAAAAGAUAUGGAGCUUUUGGAACAGGGAAUUUGAUGUUGUACAAAUAAUUGGUCAUUGGGAAGAAAGGGAAUCAUAAGAAGAAAAGAUAAAAGAGGUGGAGAGAGAGAAAUAAGAUGAAGAAGAAGAAGAAGGAGGAGGA